ensembl:lincRNA
AGCCCCCAAAUCCUCACCAAAUUGUGCAUGGAGUAACUUCUCCCUCUCUGCCGACGCCAGCCUUCCCACGUGUGUGAGACCAUUGCUGUGGAAAGAAGCCGGGCCUGACUUCAGGGAUCUGGUGUGAAAUGACUGGACCCAUGCGUUCUGAGUAAACAAGAGAGCCCCUUCUGGCUUCUCCGGGAGGAACCAAAUGGCUUCAGCAUUCAGCUCCAGAGCCCGAUGGAGACCAAGAGUGAUACACUGUACUCAUGAUCAACUGCUCAGUUCUGGUUUGGGCCUCUGAGGGCUGAUGGGGUUUGGCAGUUCUGCCUCCACACAGCUGCCAAGGCCACCAUAAUUCUGGGACCUAGGAGUAAUUUCAACGGUUUGGCUGUUACAUAUACAGCUGUUAUAAACAUCUGUGUGCGUGUCUUUCCAAAUGGAAUUGCUGGUUCAUGGGUAAGCAUACAUUCAACUUUCACAGAUAUUGCCUCAUAGUUUGCCAAAGGGUUGUACCAAUUUACACUCCUGCCAGCAGUGCAUGAGAGUUUUGGUGACUCUCAUCUUCACCAAUAUUUGGGCAUUUGUAUUUUCUUUCAUUUUAUUCAUUCUAGUGUGUUGAUGAUGUCAUCUCAUUACGGUUUUAAUUUACAUUUUCUUUUUGACUAAGUGGAGCACCUCUUCAUAUAUUUAUUGUCUAUCUUGAUAUUCUAUUUUUGUGAAGUGCCUGUCA